GCAAAUAACUAGUGAUCUUGGAAGAAUGGUCAUAUUUAUUCUUUAUUAUUGUAUAAAAGGAGCAUCAGAAUAACAAACGUAGUCGAAAUAAUAAUUAAUGUUCAAAGUAUUACAAAAUAGAAAUCAUGAAAAGAUCAAAAUCGCCUAUGAACAGGUAAUCUAUAGUAGGUACAACCUAAGCCCUAUUCUUUCUAUUUGAAGUAGGCGAAGCAUCAGAAUUUACAGGACACUGUGAUAAUAUGGUCUUGUUUAUGCUUUGUUUACUUCCACCUAAAAAUUCAAAAUUUUUCAAUAUUCUCCGUCACAUCGAAUCUUUAGACGCAUGUAUGGAGUAUUAAAUGUAAAUAAAAAUAAAAACUAAUUGCACAGUUUGGUCGAAAUUGACGAGACAAAUCUUUUAAGCCUAGUUAGUCUAUCGUUAGACAAUAAUUACCACAAACAAACAAAAAUGCUACAGUGUCGCAAAAAUUUUUCCUUCACGAACUAAACAAGGCCUUAAUUCAUCCAAAAAACCAAAAAAUUUUAAGAUUUCCUGUCACAUCGAAUCUUACGGCACAUGCAUGGACCAUUAAAUAUAAUCAAAAACAAAAAACUAACUAUACAGUUUGCCUGUAAAUCGCGUAUAACACUCCAAAUUUUUGAAUUUCAAAUUCAGUUCAAAUUUGAUUUAAUUUUGGCUUAGUUUGAAUUUUUAGAGAAUUAUUAAAUAAUUUACAAAAUUAAUUAAAAUAAAAUAUAAGGUAGAAACGUGUUUGAUUUUUGCAUUCAUGCUGCUGCAUAAUUUUGAUUGAUUUGAUUUAUUUAUUUUGCUGAUGCUUGUUUUGUUUUGUUUUGGAGCAAGAAAAUUUAAAAAAAAAAGAGAAAGGGGAGAGCCCCCGCCUGGGCCGACUUCCGGCCCAGCACCCCGCGCCCCUCCCCUCUCCCCUCAUGCCCAAGUGGGCCGCGGCCCAAGCCGCACGGCAGCGGCCGGCCCCGCACUCACCCCCCGCUGCUCCCGCCCGCAGUCGCUGACGCGUGGGCCCCGCGAGUGGGACCCACCGCCUUCUUCCACCUCCGGCCGGGACGGACUCGGGGCGCAACCGACGCCCCGGUUUCCGCGCGCGGCGCCCCCAAUCCGAGCCGCACGCGCCCCAAGGAUCGUCGUGCCUUUAAAUAGCCCCCAGCCGCCGCUCGCGAACCCCCCCUAGAACCCUAGCUUCGAAAUCCGCGCCGCCGCCGUUCUCGCCAAGCUCGCGCCGCCGCCGUUGAAACCGCCGCCGUCGAGCUUCUCUUUGACUUCGUCGUUUCGCGGAGGUGAGCUCGUCAUCGCGCUCGUCGUGACGCGCCGACCCCGCCCGUGCCCUCGGCACGCUCCCCCGUGCCCUGCAGCACCGCCGCCGAAGCUCCGGGCGGCGCCAAUGGCGCCACCGCCGCCGCCGGCCGCCCCUGCGCUCCGCACCGGCGCGCGGUCCACCGUGGACCGCGGCCCUGCGCCCCCGUGCGGCCGGUCCACUGGACCGGGUCCAGGAGGCCGCCCCCCGCCGCUCCGCAGGCGCGGUCCACCAUGGACCGCGGCCUUUCCCCCCCCCCCCCGCGCCCCGGUCCACAGCACAGUGCCGUGGACCGGCCACUCCCGAGCCGCCACGUGGCCGAGCCGGCCAGCACCCACGCGCGCCCCUGCACGUUUUGCAAAAAGGCCCCUGUUUUUAUUUAAAAUUAACCCGCUAUCCUAUGCAGUUUAAAAUAAUUAUGUUUAUGCCCUUAGUUUUCGCAGUUUAACCCCUGGCUCGGUUAGAAUUUAUUUAUUUAGUCCAAAAUGAGUUUUAAUUCAGUUUUUAAUUAGUUUUAAUUACGAAAAAUAGUUCAGUUUAUCUACAGAAAUGCCAUUCAACUUGUUUUAGCCAUAACUUUUGCAUCGUGACUCCGAUUUAGGUGAUUCUGGUCGCUAUGGUUUCGUUUCGUCGAGUAGAAUACAGUAAUGCAGUUGCUUUUUGUUUCCGCAUGCUUUGGUGUACUGUUUCUGAUUAAGUUUGUUUGCUUGCAUGUAUUGUUCCUAUGAUUGAUGAUUGUCGCGUAUAGCCAACGAGACGUUCGUGAAGGAAGAGGUUCAGGAUCCCGCUGAGUUCGAGCAACCCGACUUCGAUCAAGGCAAGUGCAGACACCGUUUGAUCAUUUUGAACCUACUCAUUAAUGCCAUUUACUUUAUAUGCAUGUGUCCAAUGAAUGCAAACCCUAAGGACAUGACUAGCUUUGCUUAUUAUUCCUUGCUCACCUGGGGUUAUGUAUUUGGGUAGACUAGGCUAUACUAGGUCUGCUUAGCUGCUCUACUCAUCUUAUACACAUGUCUAAACAAGAAUUACUCUCUCUCUACUUAACUUGAUGCUUAAACUGUGCUGAAUCUUUGGUCACUGCGGUGAUGGCGAUGUUGGAUGCUUGCGAGCAUCGUGAUGAUGGUGGUGACAGGGGGAGCGGGUACCGUUGGUGGUCCGGUUUGCCGGGCGUACCCGUCUCUGCUCUCCGUAAGGACUUAGUCAGGGAGCGGCCCCCCUGGGACUUACAGUGCAGCUCCAAGCUAUAUGGCUCUGGCUUGACUAAUUAGCAGGACCUCCACUAGUAGGGUGUUACUUUCCGGGUAGGCGUGAGGAAGUAACUUGGGUAAUGAAUAUUAAGUUGUCGGUUGAUCGGUACGCCAUGGCUAUGGGUAUCGACUGCCGAGCGCCCCGACAAAAACUUGCGAGUGGCAUCCUAUUAGUUGGACCCUGUGAAAGGUCUCGUAGUGAGACCCUGCCUGCUCACCUUGGAAGUGUUUUGGGGAGUCGCGACCCCGGGCAAAUGGGAAUCACGACUUGGAGUGAACGUGCACACCUCUGCAGAGUGUAAAACUGAUAUAUCAGCCGUGCUCACGGUCACGAGCGGCCCAGACCCUCACUUGAUGAGCAAAUUGGAUUCACUGGUUACUUGGAGAUGGACCUUGGCGAGGUUGCUACCUCGUGUUUUGGCGGAAUGGCUAUUCCGUGAUGGCAGGAUUGCUAUCCUGUGGUAAUAAUUGGGGUUAAUCCCUGGAUUACUAUAAUAGUUAGGAUAGUCAUUUAAAAGAUGCUAAUUACUACUUACACUAAUUAAGGGUUGGGUUUAUACUACUCAUAUUUAGUAAUAGGUUGUUCUAGUAAUUGUUAUAAUUAAAAGCGAUCAACUAAAAUGCUACCGCAGUCAAACCAAGUCAACUUUACCUUGUUUUAAGCCUUGCAUGUCAUUACUUUCCGUCUGUGCUUGCUGAGUUCGACAUGAGCUCACCCUUGCUAUAAUCAUUAAAGGUUGCUCGGACGAUCAGGAGUACAAUUGCGAUUUCCCUGAGGACUACCCUGAGUCUCCUGGUUGUUAGGCUCGUGUGGUUCUGCCGUCGACCUUCCUGUGGCAAGGUGGUCCUGCUACGUCGGCGUUUAGUUUUCCCUUUAUUUAUGGAACAGUUUAGUUUAUGUUUCCCCUCCGCACUUUGAUAAACAUUUGGCUUGUAAUAAUGGUACUUUUACUCUCAUUUAUGUAAUUCGUUUGAACACUGUGUUUUGUACCAUUGAUGAUGUCGGUCCAUGUGUGUGAAUUUGAGAUCCUGGCGCACAUGUGAUUUGGCACCCGAAUGCUCUUUUACAUCCGGGUGUGACAGAAGUGGUAUCAAAGCCGUGUUGACCGUAGGAUCACGCAGCCUAGUUAGAAACAGCCGUUUAGACUGUCCCUUUUGGGUGGAAUACACAAUUGGAUCUAUUAACUACCUUACUAACCUGUCUCAUUAGACUUUAUCUAUUAGCCUUGUCUACUUACUUUUACUAACAGUUCAGUUUAUUCACUUAUUUCUUGCAUUUAUUACCUUGUUAUCAUUUAUUGCUUUCUAUUUCUCAUAUUGCAUUUAUAUUCUUGUUUCAACUUUUACUACUUGUUAUUUGAACCUUUCUUUUAUACCUUGUCAUUUAUUAUCAUUCUACUCAUAUUACCUUCUUGUUCCUUGUUUUUCAUUUAUUACUUGAGUUAUGUUUUAUUUCUGCCUUGACAAUAAAUUUCAUUACCUUGUUUUCACUUUAUACCUUCAUUACUUGCUUUUAUAUCUUACCAUAAAUACCACCAAAGUUCAUAUUGUCCAUCCAUUGUAUAAUCUGGGUUCAUCUUCAUUACACAUACACUUUUACCUUCAUUUAUGUUAUUCCUUUUACCUAUCAUUGUCAUGAUCUAUUAACCGUUUCCUGCAUGUCUAUGAUCUUAUGCAUAAGUAGAUGACUCGCCACCUGACCUGCCGCAAGAGCGUUAUCCGUUUCCGCCCCGUUCAAGCUGUGGAGUUCUCGUUGACUGGUCGCGUGGAUAACAUCGUGUUCCAGCCUAACCAGCAUCUUGAUGACGGUGCUAACCUCCAAGACGCGGAACCCUAUGAAGGACAGCAACCACCUCAAGCUCUGGUGGUGCAUGGAAGGGCGCCUUGCUGGGCACCUGGAGGAGAUGAUCCCUUCGGUGAUGAUGACAUGGAUGAUGAUGAUGAGGAUGAUGAUGAUGAUGAGGAUGCACCCGGAGGACCCGGAGGACCCGGUGGACCUGGAGGUCAAGAUGGACUUUUUGCUGCUGAUGAUGGGUGGAUUGUGACAGUCUGCACCAGGGAUGGUGGAGAGUGUUUCUUCCACAGCGAGCUGAAGCGUCUCCUUGACCAGCAGCUGGGACAUGGCAUGUUCUCAGUGGAGUACCGCAGUGAGCACUGGAGUCACCCAGACUACCCGGCGUACUGGAAGGUCUGGGCACACGUCGGCAGGCCUAACCCGACGUUGAGGGCACUGAGGAUCAUGUCCAUACAUGAGGCUGUGGCUGAGAGGUCUACCCAGAUGGCAGGCAUUAAUGAUGCUGCUCGCCAGGCUUUCUACGCAUACCGUGAUCACUUCUUCGAGGAGAUCAGCCAGGAUGAGCGUCGCUACUACCCUCGCCGUCGCCGUGGAGAGUUGGCGAUGACUAUUGCUUCCACCACUGAUGAGCAAGACCCCCGCAUGCACAGGACUGUCAAGCUGGUGGCGGUCACUAACACCGAGCUCAACAGUUCACUAGUGGAGUUGAAGCAAGUCAGGAAGGAGUUGGACGACGCCAGGAAGAGGAUAGCACAACUGGAGGCUCAGAUCACUGGAGUGCCACCGCCUUCACCUAAGUGGCCUGCUUUCUCUCCGCCUCGUGAAGAUCCAGCCUAUGGGGAUGCCAGCGCUCGUACUACUAUAGAAUAGGAGCUAUUCCCAACUUAGUAAUAAAUAGUGCCACGCUUAGAACGUUAGCACGAUCUUAGCUAUGCGAGUUUAGUGCUUAGUCGUUUGCUUAGUGUGCUUUGCUUGGUCUGUGUGAGAACUUGAUUUAUUAUUGUGUUAAUGGUGUGAUUUGGUUCUUUGUAAUGAGUGCGAUGAGUGGUGGGUUAUGUCCACAACGCAUCAAGAAUAAGAUUAAGUAUUAAGUUUAUUUGAGAUAGUUUGGGUUAUCAUCGGUCUCCUUUAUUUGUGCCUUAUCAUAUUUCAUAUCGCUUUAUCUUAUCAGUCUUACACUAUCAUGAUCAGUUCAUUAUCUAUAUAUUACAUCUGUUGUGAGUACUGUGUUUAUCAACUGAGACAGGAAAGUAACUAUCAGCUGGGUCAUACUUUGGGGAAAGAUUAUUACAUUGCAGUUUACAUUACAGCUCAGGUUUACACAUAUGAACUACAUCUGAUUUUAUUAUUUCUAUAUAUCAGAUGCCUGUCCACACCAGGAGCAACACCAAUGGAGGAAACAAUGGACAGUCCAACAACAACAACAAUGAUCAGAGCGGGACUAAUGCCAACCCUCCUCCUCCGGGGAAUCAGCCCAUGACCAUAGAACAGUUGAUGACUAUGCAGACUCAACUGAUGCAAGGGAUGGCUCAUAUUAUGAACCACAUGCAGCAGAACCAAAACCAGAAUCAGAACCAACACCAAGGAGGUAACAACGCGUUUGCCCCACCUAGGGACAAGCGUGGAGAGUUCAUGAAGGGACGUCCACCGUUCUUCUCUCACUCAGCUGAUCCUAUGCAAGCUGAGGAUUGGCUUAAAGCUGUGGAGAAGCAGCUGGUUAUUGCUCAGUGCAAUGACAGGGAGAAAGUUCUGUAUGGCUCUGGGCAGCUUCAGGGAGCCGCACAGGACUGGUGGGAUUCAUAUUGCUUUGCACAUCAGGACCCGGAUACUAUCACUUGGGAUGAGUUCAAGGUCGCCUUCAAGACUCAUCAUGUGCCUGCUGGAUUGGUGAAGUUGAAGAAGAAGGAGUUUCUGUCUCUGAAGCAGGGCUCCAUGACAGUUUGUGAGUACCGUGACAAGUUCACUCAGUUGUCGCGGUAUUGCCCCAAUGAAGUGGAGAAUGAUGAAGACAAGUAAGAUCACUUUCUGGAAGGUUUGAAUGAUGGUCUGUCCUACAUGAUGUCGAAUGUCAAGUACGCCAGUUUCCAGGAGAUGGUGGACAGGGCAUUGGUGCUUGAGAGCAAGCGCCGUAAGAUGGAGGACAAGAAGAGGAAGUAUAACUCCUCUCAGCAGCAGGCUGGUGCCAGUUGUCCCCGCUACAACAACCAGCAGGGCCCUCAGUCUCGCCCUGCAUAUCAGUCAGGCAACCAAGGACAGCAACAGAAUGUCAGGUACAGCAACCAGAGUCAGCAGACGAGCCAGCGCUACAACAACAACCAAGUGCAGCGCCCCGCUAGUCAGGCGCCUCGCCAGAAUGCCCCAGCACCAUCAGGCUCUCGCCAGAACUCCAACACUGUCCCAAUGAAGCCCAAUGUCAAUCCCGCCCCCACUGGAAAUACCUGCUUCAAGUGUGGUCAGCUUGGACACUACGCGAAUGCGUGCCCCCAGAGGCAGAGGAAUAACAACAACAAUGGAAGGGUGAAUCAUGUGAAGUUGGAAACUGCGGAGGAGGCUCCAGAUGUGGUAGUUGGUAUGUUUCUUGUCAACUCUUGCCCAGCUACUGUUUUGUUUGAUACUGGAGCAUCACAUACUUUUAUAAGUGCACAGUUUGUUGAGAAACAUAGUAUAGCCACCUGUACCAUGCAAAACACCAUGAUAGUUAAAUCACCUGGGGGAAAGAUGCAUACUAAUACUUUGUGUCCAGAAAUGAGCAUUAAAAUAAGGGGGGUAGAUUUUCCUGUCAAUCCCAUUGUGUUGGGUUCAGAAGGUUUAGAUAUGAUAUUGGGAAUGAGAUGGUUGUCCAAGUUUAAGGGUACUAUUCAGUGUGCUGAGAAGACAGUGGCUCUAACCGCACCUAGUGGGAACAGAAUUGAGGUCAGAGUUUCUAUGUCACCUAGUAGUGAAGGAACAAUUUACCAUCUGAGCAGUGGGUCAGUAGAAGAUAUUCGAGUUGUGAAAGAGUUCCCUGAUGUGUUCCCAGAAGAUUUGCCAGGUAUGCCACCUGAACGUGAGAUUGAAUUUGUUAUUGAUUUAUUACCUGGUACUGCACCCAUAUCUAAGAGACCUUAUAGAAUGGCUGUUAAUGAGUUAGAAGAACUUAAGAAACAACUAAGGGAGUUACAGUCUAAGGGGUAUAUCCGUCCUAGUUCCUCACCUUGGGGAGCUCCAGUUAUCUUUGUAGAGAAGAAGGAUGGGACACAGAGGAUGUGUGUAGACUAUAGAUCUUUGAAUGAGGUCACCAUUAAGAAUAAAUACCCUUUGCCUAGAAUAGAGGACUUGUUUGACCAGUUGAAAGGAGCUUGUGUGUUUUCCAAAAUAGAUCUGAGGUCAGGUUAUCACCAGUUGAGGAUUAAACCUAGUGAUAUUCCAAAGACUGCUUUCACCACCAGAUAUGGACUUUAUGAGUAUACAGUUAUGUCUUUUGGAUUGACGAAUGCUCCAGCUUACUUUAUGUAUCUGAUGAAUAAAGUUUUUAUGGAGUAUUUGGAUAAGUUUGUGGUAGUCUUUAUUGAUGAUAUCUUGAUCUACUCCAAGACUGAGGAAGAACAUGAGGAACACCUGAGACUUGUGUUGCAGAAAUUGAGGGAACAUCAGCUCUAUGCCAAGCUGAGUAAGUGUGACUUCUGGUUGAAGGAAGUGUCUUUUCUUGGUCAUGUCAUUUCAAAUGGUGGAGUUGCUGUUAGUCCGAAGAAUGUGGCAGAUGUUCUUAAGUGGAGUCCACCUCAGACUGUUGGGGAGAUCAGAAGUUUUCUUGGAAUGGCCGGUUACUAUCGGAGAUUCAUUGAGGGAUUUUCCAGUAUUGCCAAGCCCAUGACUGCUUUGUUAGAGAAGGGUAAGCCAUUCAAGUGGAAUGAACAGUGUCAGGCUAGUUUUGAGGAAUUGAAGAAGAGGUUGACUACUGCACCAAUUUUGACUUUGCCAGAUGUGACUAAAAGCUUUUCCAUCUAUUGUGAUGCUUCCAAGCAAGGUUUGGGAUGUGUACUGAUGCAAGAGGGAAAGGUGAUUGCCUAUGCAUCUAGACAGUUGAAGAAACACGAGGUGAAUUAUCCAACUCAUGAUCUUGAGUUAGCAGCUGUGGUCCAUUCACUGAAGAUCUGGAGACACUAUAUUCUGGGUCAUAAGUGUGAUAUCUACACGGAUCACAAGAGUCUGAAAUACAUCUUCACUCAGAAUGACUUAAACCUGAGACAGAGAAGAUGGUUAGAGUUGAUCAAGGACUAUGAACUGGAGAUUCAUUACCACCCUGGCAAAGCUAAUGUAGUUGCUGACGCUCUGAGUAGAAAGAGUCAAGUGAAUAUGAUGGAAGCCACGGAGUUACCGAUGGAACUACUGGCAGAAUUUGAGUAUCUCAAUUUGGGGUUUGUUGCUAAUACCCAAGGUACUUCCAUGGACAUAGAACCAACUCUUGAGCAAGAGAUCAGAAAAGGUCAGAAAGAGGAUGAAGAGAUCAAAAAGAUACUUAAGCUGAUAGAGGAAGGUAGAGCACCUGGAUUCAAAGUUGAUCAAGAAGGGAUUGUUUGGCACAAGGACCGAUUGUGUGUCCCUGAUAUUCAGAGAAUUAAGGAUGUGAUACUGAAGGAGUGCCAUGAAUCUGCUUACUCUAUUCAUCCAGGAGGUACUAAGAUGUAUCAGGACUUGAAGCAAAACUAUUGGUGGCCUGGUAUGAAGAAAGAUAUUGGUGAAUAUGUGGCAUUGUGUGACACCUGUCAGAGAGUGAAAGCGGAACAUCAGAGGCCAGCAGGGUUGUUGCAACCGUUGAAGAUACCUGAGUGGAAGUGGGAUGAGAUCAGCAUGGACUUCAUAGUGGGAUUGCCGAAAACUCAACGAGGUUAUGACUCAAUAUGGGUUGUAGUAGAUCGAUUGACCAAGGUAGCUCAUUUCAUACCGGUCAGAACUAACUACCGUGGGGAUCAGUUAGCAGAAAAGUAUAUGGAACGGAUUGUGUGUCUGCAUGGAGUUCCUAAGAGGAUUGUGUCUGAUAGAGGUACACAGUUUACAUCAAAGUUUUGGGAGAAGCUACAUGAUGCUUUGGGAACCGAGCUCAGAUUCAGUACUGCUUAUCACCCUCAGUCCGAUGGUCAGACAGAGAGAGUCAACCAGAUAGUAGAGGAUAUGCUCAGGUCUUGUGCUUUACAGUAUGGGGAUAGUUGGGAUGCUAGUUUGCCCUACGCUGAGUUCUCCUAUAACAACAGUUAUCAGACUAGUCUUAAGAUGACUCCUUUUGAAGCCUUGUAUGGAAGGAAGUGUAGGACUCCAUUGUUCUGGUACCAGACUGGUGAAAGGCAAGUGUUCGGCCCUGAUUCAUUGAGAAUAGCCGAAGAAAGAGUUCAAUUCAUCCGACAGACUCUGAAGGCAGCUCAGUCUAGACAGAAGAGUUAUGCUGAUGUGAGACGAAGGGAACUUGUAUUUCAGGCAGGUGAUUAUGUAUACCUGAAAGUGUCUCCGAUGAGAGGUCUAAAGAGGUUCAAUGUUAAGGGAAAGCUAGCUCCAAGAUACGUUGGUCCUUUCAAGAUCUUGGAAAGAAAAGGAGAAGUGGCUUAUGAGCUUGAAUUGCCUGCCAGCUUAUCCAAUGUGCACAAUGUCUUCCAUGUCUCCCAAUUCAAGAAAUGUUUGAGAGUGCCUGAGGAACAGUUGCCACUAGAGGAACUGGAUUUACAGGAGGAUCUAACUUAUGAAGAGAGUCCUAUCAAAGUUCUGGACACAGCGGAGAGAAUUACCAGGAGUAAAACUAUCAGGAUGUGUAAAGUACAAUGGAAACACCAUUCCGAGAAAGAAGCAACCUGGGAAAGAGAAGAUGAUCUAAUAUCCAAAUACCCUCAGUUAUUCCCUGGUUCAUCCUAAUCUCGAGGACGAGAUUCUUUUAAGGGGGGUAGGUUUAUAACACUCCAAAUUUUUGAAUUUCAAAUUCAGUUCAAAUUUGAUUUAAUUUUGGCUUAGUUUGAAUUUUUAGAGAAUUAUUAAAUAAUUUACAAAAUUAAUUAAAAUAAAAUAUAAGGUAGAAACGUGUUUGAUUUUUGCAUUCAUGCUGCUGCAUAAUUUUGAUUGAUUUGAUUUAUUUAUUUUGCUGAUGCUUGUUUUGUUUUGUUUUGGAGCAAGAAAAUUUAAAAAAAAAAAGAGAAAGGGGAGAGCCCCCGCCUGGGCCGACUUCCGGCCCAGCACCCCGCGCCCCUCCCCUCUCCCCUCAUGCCCAAGUGGGCCGCGGCCCAAGCCGCACGGCAGCGGCCGGCCCCGCACUCACCCCCCGCUGCUCCCGCCCGCAGUCGCUGACGCGUGGGCCCCGCGAGUGGGACCCACCGCCUUCUUCCACCUCCGGCCGGGACGGACUCGGGGCGCAACCGACGCCCCGGUUUCCGCGCGCGGCGCCCCCAAUCCGAGCCGCACGCGCCCCAAGGAUCGCCGUGCCUUUAAAUAGCCCCCAGCCGCCUGUGGCAGAACCACCCUAAUUAUAUGGCCCACAUGCACUUGACAUUGUCCUUAAGACCUCUGACUACUGCACAUGAGAGUCAUAUAACUUGGAUAGUCUGUCGGGUGCCCUCGGAGGACCCCGAAUCAUCCACAUUUUAACUCGUACAGGAUCAACAUGGAGUUACCACAACAUUACAACAUUUGUUACAAAAAUAACUUACAUCAGAGUGCGGAAGAUUUAUAACUUAAUUUACAACAUAUGAUGAAGUAUAAACUUAACUAAAUUUCCAAAAGGUGUAUAGAGUAGCGGAAGCAUCUUAGGUGAAGCUUCUAAGGUAGAAGAGGUGGAUAAAUCAUGUCGCGCCCACCGACACGACCACCAUUAGCAGACUAAGUCAGCACCUGCAACAGGGGUUAUAAAACCCUGAGUACAAAAGUACUCAACAAGACUUAACCGACUAGAAAAGAGGUGAAGACUCAGGUAUGCAGGCUAUAGGGAUUCAAGGUAAAGCUUUAUCAAGAUAAAGCAUUUCUUUUGCAUAAAAGCUUACUAAGAUUAAACCUACUUUCAAGUUUUAACUCAAGGUUAUCAUUUAUGACUAACCAAAACUAUUAUCAAACUUGCAUAAUCAUACCACAUCUUUCUUAUACCAAAGAUUCACUUGUUACUACGAUGAUGGUGUGAGGAUUGAGGCUCCAUAUCCGAGGAAACACGGCGAUUCGAAUCGAUUAAACCCAGCUGGGGAUUCAGUACCACACGACAUAUGUAGAACUUAAUCUUGCAUAUGUCAACCUGUUUCUAUAGAUCCUCCCAUACAAGAACGGGUCCAGCGUCACCCGAGAGUACAGUACACCACCAUCCUACAGCCAAUCUAGAUGUUUCCCGGUCAUCUCAGAUCCGUAAGGUGGGUACACGCUACUCUCGCCAUCUUUCCACUCCCAGUACGCGGUUAGCCGUUCUCAAGUAUCGGAAUAGCUAUAGGUAAGGCUUACCGCCGCAUGUGGGCUGUACUCAAAGGUCUCAAUCACAACAGGCCAAUCAACGGUACGGUCCUUAAUCGACUCAGUUGGAGACACUACUUUAAGACUCCAUUCUUAAAGCAAGUCCACCGACCGGUCUCAAGUUUAAACAUUAUUAACCAUAACAGUAUACCACAACGACCCUUCAAACUCUUUCAUUUGAAAACUUAUCUAAUAAGCAGGACUAAGCAUACUAAACAUUUUCAUAAAGCAAGUAUCAAGGUAAAUAUUGAAAUCAUCAAGGUAGAUAAUGCAGCAAAUAGGAUUCACUCAACUCCUAUUCACCUAAUGCAUCAUAUUAACUCAAGUGAUAUAGAUAACUUUAUGAAAAUACAAGGAUAGGGUUUAAUGUCCGGGGCUUGCCUUGGUCGGAGGGGACGUUCGGCAACUCAACAACACUCGAAGGAUCCACAAACUCGGAAGAAACCCACUGGGGAUCAGAUUCUUCCGGAGCGUACUCUAUACGUAAAAGUGCAUAUGCAUGAUUAUGAUAUACUCAUGGCAUGAUAAAGACAGGUUACAUGUUCUUGGAUGACAACCAUAAGCAUGACUAUCUCAAGUACAAUUUACCUUCAUGAUAGAGAAACAAACUAAUCUAGCUAUCAAAGCAUGGAUUAUUACUAAGCAAAUUUUAUCAUCUUCAUUAAGCAAUGUUGUGUAGUUAUUAAGCAACAAAGAUCAUUUACAUGAAAGAAUCCUUAACCAGGGAGAAUGUUAUGCUAAGUGACCACUGGUUGUCAAACAAUCUAAAAUAUCACCCAAAUCCUAAAGGGAUUAAUUAUUUCUAUUUCUUUUAUAAGCAUUUAAAUAGCUUUAUUAAGAAACAGAGCAUACUUAAUCAAAAAUAACUGAAAAUAUUUCUGAAGCUAGGUAAUAUUAACACAAGUUCACAUAUUAAAUUUCAUGCCAUUUGAAUAAGUAUAGCAGUUUCCAUGAAAAAGAUAAAUUUCCAUCACAAGAAAGCAUGUAACAACAAGAUAAAUAAGAAACUCGACAUUUUCUACAAACACAUAGCUAAAUUAUGUAUCUAUAUGAUAUAACAAUUUCAUAUAAAGGUAGAGGAACCAUAUUUUACAUUUAUUCCUUUUUAGUUUAAUUGUAAAUUAUUUAAUAAGCACUACACAAGAUAAAUCAAUAACUUAAUCAUAUGUCAUCUACUGAACAUGAAAUUUUUACUGCAACAUUCAAAUAACAUCAUGAGAACACCAUAAAAAUUUCAGGGCAAUAGGAUCUACACAGAAUAAGAUAUGAAUUUCUCCCUUUUAAACAUAAUUAAAAGGCAUAAAUCAUAACCAAUUAUUUUACUACAAAACAUGAUCAGUUUCAUAUUUUUAAUAAAAACUAGACAUCUCAAGGAGCACAACAAAAUUUGGUUCACCAAAAUUGGAGUUGCCAAACUCCAGAUAUGAAUUUUCAAAGAUCUAACAAAACAUCUACAAACAGGUCCUGAUGGCACUAUUCACCCGAGUCACGAACUUCGCAGUUAGACCCUUGCCUUGUGUCGAAUUCCAACGCGAAGUCCCUGGCGCGAAAUGGAAACAGAGGAGGCGCGCGGGAAAGCCGGAUUUCCGACCGGCGACCGUCUGUUGGCGACAAGGGAGAGGUACUGGAGCAUGGUUGGGCCUAUGUGCACCCUCUGGUGACCACGGCUUGCUGCGAGAAGGCCUGAGGUGGCAUGGCCACGGUGAGGUGCUCCUCGGCGGCGCUUUUGGCCGGAAUGGAGGAAGAACGGACGUAGCCGGGGCUAGAGAUGGUUAGAGCUUGCAUCAAGGGGGCGCGAAUGGUUGCUGAGACCUUGGUAAAGCUGCUGGGGUGCUCUGGUGGCUUAGAAAGGAAGUGGGAGAGGUGAAUUUUUGCGGGCGCAGGGAGCUCACCGGCGUUGAGCGAAAGGAAGAAGAGAGGGUUGCAGUGAGGUGCGAGCCAUGGGAAGAAGUGGAUGAGGACGCCAGGAGCUCGGCCACUUCACCGCGACCGUAAGCAGGCGAGCAGCUGCGUGGCUGGGUGCGUGGCGGCGUCCUGAGCAGCAGUGUCUGCCGCGGCGGCAGUGCAGCCCGUGAUCCUCAUCGGUUACUGUAGCAGGCUUUAUCCAACCAGUUUUGUGGUUUUGCAAAAUUCGUCCAAAUUUUGAACUGAAGACAAAAUUCCACCAAAACAAAAGUUAUUCAGAAUUUUACAAACUACAAAUCUUCUUUUGGUGACCAAAGCCAAUUCUGGGUGGAAAAUGACGAAUUUGACAAAACAGUUUGAAUUUCAAAUCCCAAAUUGGGGAAAUUCCAAAUUUUGAAUUGGAGCAGAUUAGAAUUUCCAAAAUUACUUUUGAUUUUCCAAAACAACUUGAAAAACUCCCAACAUGAAAGUUGUUCAACUUUUCAAGCCCUACAACUCUCAUGUUGACCAUUUUUCAAAAUUCCAAACAGAUUUUGAAUUGGAGAUUUAAGUUUGAAAAGGGGACACUUUCCGGAAAUCUGUAUUUUCAAAAUUACUUUGAAUUUUGUACUGAAACUUCAAAAACUCAAAACACCAAAGUUGUACAUCUUGACAAGAUCUACAACUUUGCUUUUGAACUCAACUUCAAAUUUUGCUUAGUUUUUAAAUUACACAAAAGGGGACAAAUCUAGGGUUUCCCCCCUAAGCCUUUCGGAAAAACUUUCACCCAAGGUUUUUAAAUUCCAAAACAAACAUCCAUACAUAAAAUAAACACACUUUACUUCCUAAACACAUUCAACCAAAAUAACCUUAUUUUAAGUUGAUGCAUAAUAAUGUGCUCAACAAUUAUGCUUUGCAAUGCUUAUGAUGACAUGAUCCAGUUUUAGUAUUCGUAACAUCAGGGAUGUUACAGCCCUUCCCCCUUAAAGAAAUCUCGUCCCGAGAUUUCCAGGGUACUAAAACCCGUGGGGUUAAGUAAUGGAAAAGGAAAUGUGUCAAGCACAUUAACUUCUGAGAAGUUCAUAAAACAAUUACAAUUGGUCCGAGAAUUACAACUAAGAUCAACAGAAUGUUGUAAUCAAUAAGGAAUGUUAGAGAAUUCAUAAGAAGAUAUGAAUCUCCAAAUGAGCUUCCAAGGAGAAUGAAAGCACACUAACUGUAGACUAUAGCGGAGCAUGACCAGAGAUCCCGAUGUUUAACGAGCACCUAGUAGUAUUUCCUUAUGGCUGCAGUCCACAGGAGACUACAAGGUUCGACGCUAUAACGUGAUCACGGAUCAUGGUACCUACUAUAGAGUACGGUUAUAAUAGCUUUCAAUGACCUAUGUUGGUUAUCUAAGUCAGGGGUUUUAGGUAAUUCCAAAGAGAUAUGGGCAUGGAUUCCCAUAAUAUUGUUCAAAGAGUGAGGUCACCUAAGUUGUGGGUCUAUAAGGGAUCAUGAUCAUAGACUUUGAUAACAGCGAGCGCCCGGCAGUAUUUCCUUAUGGUCGCGAGCCAUAGGAGACCCCAGGUUUCGGCGUUGUUACCUAAGUUAUGGGUCAUGGUACCUUAAGAGGACACAAUCAUAGUGACAUUCAAUCAACAGAAAUGUUGACAAAUGACAUCAAGGAGGUAGCAUGUGUCCGAAUUAGAUGAAAUCAAGGAAGGUCACAUGCAUAACAAAUGAAUCAAGGAUUAGGAUCUUAUGGAGUAAAAGAUUAUCAAUCAGUUAACGAAACCUGGUACAUGAUGAGAUUCAUCAAUAAAACAGCUAUACCGAAUAAUAACUGUUUUGAAGCAUAAGGAGGGGCUUUUAUGUAUCAUUAUAUUUGUCAUGUUAUGCUUGAUAUGCAAUAUGCUCGCCUAUACGUCUUUACAACGUUAGCUAGGAGAUAAUUGCUUAUAUAGGGCAUACUUUAUACACUAUCUUUAUUGCUUCAAAAGGGAGGCUGCAAGACUGUUGACAAAGCAUUGUUGGAGUAGUUUGAUUCUUCACUUGGCUUGUCGAAGACUUGAAGCCUCUUUUAAUGUCUUCUAUUUGAGUCAGCAGAAAGUCUUCGUAGAACCCGAACAGCAAGCAUAAGAAAAGUUAAGGAAUAUUUAUAAGUUGUUAUCCUCAAAAACUUUUAAUUUGUAAAUUUCUUUUGAACUUUUCACAAUUAAUGUUGUAGAAGAUCCAUGUAUGAGCUCUGAUACCAGCUGUGGCAGAACCACCCUAAUUAUAUGGCCCACAUGCACUUGACAUUGUCCUUAAGACCUCUGACUACUGCACAUGAGAGUCAUAUAACUUGGAUAGUCUGUCGGGUGCCCUCGGAGGACCCCGAAUCAUACACAUUUUAACUCGUACAGGAUCAACAUGGAGUUACCACAACAUUACAACAUUUGUUACAAAAAUAACUUACAUCAGAGUGCGGAAGAUUUAUAACUUAAUUUACAACAUAUGAUGAAGUAUAAACUUAACUAAAUUUCCAAAAGGUGUAUAGAGUAGCGGAAGCAUCUUAGGUGAAGCUUCUAAGGUAGAAGAGGUGGAUAAAUCAUGUCGCGCCCACCGACACGACCACCAUUAGCAGACUAAGUCAGCACCUGCAACAGGGGUUAUAAAACCCUGAGUACAAAAGUACUCAACAAGACUUAACCGACUAGAAAAGAGGUGAAGACUCAGGUAUGCAGGCUAUAGGGAUUCAAGGUAAAGCUUUAUCAAGAUAAAGCAUUUCUUUUGCAUAAAAGCUUACUAAGAUUAAACCUACUUUCAAGUUUUAACUCAAGGUUAUCAUUUAUGACUAACCAAAACUAUUAUCAAACUUGCAUAAUCAUACCACAUCUUUCUUAUACCAAAGAUUCACUUGUUACUACGAUGAUGGUGUGAGGAUUGAGGCUCCAUAUCCGAGGAAACACGGCGAUUCGAAUCGAUUAAACCCAGCUGGGGAUUCAGUACCACACGACAUAUGUAGAACUUAAUCUUGCAUAUGUCAACCUGUUUCUAUAGAUCCUCCCAUACAAGAACGGGUCCAGCGUCACCCGAGAGUACAGUACACCACCAUCCUACAGCCAAUCUAGAUGUUUCCCGGUCAUCUCAGAUCCGUAAGGUGGGUACACGCUACUCUCGCCAUCUUUCCACUCCCAGUACGCGGUUAGCCGUUCUCAAGUAUCGGAAUAGCUAUAGGUAAGGCUUACCGCCGCAUGUGGGCUGUACUCAAAGGUCUCAAUCACAACAGGCCAAUCAACGGUACGGUCCUUAAUCGACUCAGUUGGAGACACUACUUUAAGACUCCAUUCUUAAAGCAAGUCCACCGACCGGUCUCAAGUUUAAACAUUAUUAACCAUAACAGUAUACCACAACGACCCUUCAAACUCUUUCAUUUGAAAACUUAUCUAAUAAGCAGGACUAAGCAUACUAAACAUUUUCAUAAAGCAAGUAUCAAGGUAAAUAUUGAAAUCAUCAAGGUAGAUAAUGCAGCAAAUAGGAUUCACUCAACUCCUAUUCACCUAAUGCAUCAUAUUAACUCAAGUGAUAUAGAUAACUUUAUGAAAAUACAAGGAUAGGGUUUAAUGUCCGGGGCUUGCCUUGGUCGGAGGGGACGUUCGGCAACUCAACAACACUCGAAGGAUCCACAAACUCGGAAGAAACCCACUGGGGAUCAGAUUCUUCCGGAGCGUACUCUAUACGUAAAAGUGCAUAUGCAUGAUUAUGAUAUACUCAUGGCAUGAUAAAGACAGGUUACAUGUUCUUGGAUGACAACCAUAAGCAUGACUAUCUCAAGUACAAUUUACCUUCAUGAUAGAGAAACAAACUAAUCUAGCUAUCAAAGCAUGGAUUAUUACUAAGCAAAUUUUAUCAUCUUCAUUAAGCAAUGUUGUGUAGUUAUUAAGCAACAAAGAUCAUUUACAUGAAAGAAUCCUUAACCAGGGAGAAUGUUAUGCUAAGUGACCACUGGUUGUCAAACAAUCUAAAAUAUCACCCAAAUCCUAAAGGGAUUAAUUAUUUCUAUUUCUUUUAUAAGCAUUUAAAUAGCUUUAUUAAGAAACAGAGCAUACUUAAUCAAAAAUAACUGAAAAUAUUUCUGAAGCUAGGUAAUAUUAACACAAGUUCACAUAUUAAAUUUCAUGCCAUUUGAAUAAGUAUAGCAGUUUCCAUGAAAAAGAUAAAUUUCCAUCACAAGAAAGCAUGUAACAACAAGAUAAAUAAGAAACUCGACAUUUUCUACAAACACAUAGCUAAAUUAUGUAUCUAUAUGAUAUAACAAUUUCAUAUAAAGGUAGAGGAACCAUAUUUUACAUUUAUUCCUUUUUAGUUUAAUUGUAAAUUAUUUAAUAAGCACUACACAAGAUAAAUCAAUAACUUAAUCAUAUGUCAUCUACUGAACAUGAAAUUUUUACUGCAACAUUCAAAUAACAUCAUGAGAACACCAUAAAAAUUUCAGGGCAAUAGGAUCUACACAGAAUAAGAUAUGAAUUUCUCCCUUUUAAACAUAAUUAAAAGGCAUAAAUCAUAACCAAUUAUUUUACUACAAAACAUGAUCAGUUUCAUAUUUUUAAUAAAAACUAGACAUCUCAAGGAGCACAACAAAAUUUGGUUCACCAAAAUUGGAGUUGCCAAACUCCAGAUAUGAAUUUUCAAAGAUCUAACAAAACAUCUACAAACAGGUCCUAAUGGCACUAUUCACCCGAGUCACGAACUUCGCAGUUAGACCCUUGCCUUGUGUCGAAUUCCAACGCGAAGUCCCUGGCGCGAAAUGGAAACAGAGGAGGCGCGCGGGAAAGCCGGAUUUCCGACCGGCGACCGUCUGUUGGCGACAAGGGAGAGGUACUGGAGCAUGGUUGGGCCUAUGUGCACCCUCUGGUGACCACGGCUUGCUGCGAGAAGGCCUGAGGUGGCAUGGCCACGGUGAGGUGCUCCUCGGCGGCGCUUUUGGCCGGAAUGGAGGAAGAACGGACGUAGCCGGGGCUAGAGAUGGUUAGAGCUUGCAUCAAGGGGGCGCGAAUGGUUGCUGAGACCUUGGUAAAGCUGCUGGGGUGCUCUGGUGGCUUAGAAAGGAAGUGGGAGAGGUGAAUUUUUGCGGGCGCAGGGAGCUCACCGGCGUUGAGCGAAAGGAAGAAGAGAGGGUUGCAGUGAGGUGCGAGCCAUGGGAAGAAGUGGAUGAGGACGCCAGGAGCUCGGCCACUUCACCGCGACCGUAAGCAGGCGAGCAGCUGCGUGGCUGGGUGCGUGGCGGCGUCCUGAGCAGCAGUGUCUGCCGCGGCGGCAGUGCAGCCCGUGAUCCUCAUCGGUUACUGUAGCAGGCUUUAUCCAACCAGUUUUGUGGUUUUGCAAAAUUCGUCCAAAUUUUGAACUGAAGACAAAAUUCCACCAAAACAAAAGUUAUUCAGAAUUUUACAAACUACAAAUCUUCUUUUGGUGACCAAAGCCAAUUCUGGGUGGAAAAUGACGAAUUUGACAAAACAGUUUGAAUUUCAAAUCCCAAAUUGGGGAAAUUCCAAAUUUUGAAUUGGAGCAGAUUAGAAUUUCCAAAAUUACUUUUGAUUUUCCAAAACAACUUGAAAAACUCCCAACAUGAAAGUUGUUCAACUUUUCAAGCCCUACAACUCUCAUGUUGACCAUUUUUCAAAAUUCCAAACAGAUUUUGAAUUGGAGAUUUAAGUUUGAAAAGGGGACACUUUCCGGAAAUCUGUAUUUUCAAAAUUACUUUGAAUUUUGUACUGAAACUUCAAAAACUCAAAACACCAAAGUUGUACAUCUUGACAAGAUCUACAACUUUGCUUUUGAACUCAACUUCAAAUUUUGCUUAGUUUUUAAAUUACACAAAAGGGGACAAAUCUAGGGUUUUGAAAACUAGGGUUUCCCCCCUAAGCCUUUCGGAAAAACUUUCACCCAAGGUUUUUAAAUUCCAAAACAAACAUCCAUACAUAAAAUAAACACACUUUACUUCCUAAACACAUUCAACCAAAAUAACCUUAUUUUAAGUUGAUGCAUAAUAAUGUGCUCAACAAUUAUGCUUUGCAAUGCUUAUGAUGACAUGAUCCAGUUUUAGUAUUCGUAACAUCAGGGAUGUUACACCGCCGCUCGCGAACCCCCCCUAGAACCCUAGCUUCGAAAUCCGCGCCGCCGCCGUUCUCGCCAAGCUCGCGCCGCCGCCGUUGAUACCGCCGCCGUCGAGCUUCUCUUUGACUUCGUCGUUUCGCGGAGGUGAGCUCGUCAUCGCGCUCGUCGUGACGCGCCGACCCCGCCCGUGCCCUCGGCACGCUCCCCCGUGCCCUGCAGCACCGCCGCCGAAGCUCCGGGCGGCGCCAAUGGCGCCACCGCCGCCGCCGGCCGCCCCUGCGCUCCGCACCGGCGCGCGGUCCACCGUGGACCGCGGCCCUGCGCCCCCGUGCGGCCGGUCCACUGGACCGGGUCCAGGAGGCCGCCCCCCGCCGCUCCGCAGGCGCGGUCCACCAUGGACCGCGGCCUUUCCCCCCCCCCCGCGCCCCGGUCCACAGCACAGUGCCGUGGACCGGCCACUCCCGAGCCGCCACGUGGCCGAGCCGGCCAGCACCCACGCGCGCCCCUGCACGUUUUGCAAAAAGGCCCCUGUUUUUAUUUAAAAUUAACCCGCUAUCCUAUGCAGUUUAAAAUAAUUAUGUUUAUGCCCUUAGUUUUCGCAGUUUAACCCCUGGCUCGGUUAGAAUUUAUUUAUUUAGUCCAAAAUGAGUUUUAAUUCAGUUUUUAAUUAGUUUUAAUUACGAAAAAUAGUUCAGUUUAUCUACAGAAAUGCCAUUCAACUUGUUUUAGCCAUAACUUUUGCAUCGUGACUCCGAUUUAGGUGAUUCUGGUCGCUAUGGUUUCGUUUCGUCGAGUAGAAUACAGUAAUGCAGUUGCUUUUUGUUUCCGCAUGCUUUGGUGUACUGUUUCUGAUUAAGUUUGUUUGCUUGCAUGUAUUGUUCCUAUGAUUGAUGAUUGUCGCGUAUAGCCAACGAGACGUUCGUGAAGGAAGAGGUUCAGGAUCCCGCUGAGUUCGAGCAACCCGACUUCGAUCAAGGCAAGUGCAGACACCGUUUGAUCAUUUUGAACCUACUCAUUAAUGCCAUUUACUUUAUAUGCAUGUGUCCAAUGAAUGCAAACCCUAAGGACAUGACUAGCUUUGCUUAUUAUUCCUUGCUCACCUGGGGUUAUGUAUUUGGGUAGACUAGGCUAUACUAGGUCUGCUUAGCUGCUCUACUCAUCUUAUACACAUGUCUAAACAAGAAUUACUCUCUCUCUACUUAACUUGAUGCUUAAACUGUGCUGAAUCUUUGGUCACUGCGGUGAUGGCGAUGUUGGAUGCUUGCGAGCAUCGUGAUGAUGGUGGUGACAGGGGGAGCGGGUACCGUUGGUGGUCCGGUUUGCCGGGCGUACCCGUCUCUGCUCUCCGUAAGGACUUAGUCAGGGAGCGGCCCCCCUGGGACUUACAGUGCAGCUCCAAGCUAUAUGGCUCUGGCUUGACUAAUUAGCAGGACCUCCACUAGUAGGGUGUUACUUUCCGGGUAGGCGUGAGGAAGUAACUUGGGUAAUGAAUAUUAAGUUGUCGGUUGAUCGGUACGCCAUGGCUAUGGGUAUCGACUGCCGAGCGCCCCGACAAAAACUUGCGAGUGGCAUCCUAUUAGUUGGACCCUGUGAAAGGUCUCGUAGUGAGACCCUGCCUGCUCACCUUGGAAGUGUUUUGGGGAGUCGCGACCCCGGGCAAAUGGGAAUCACGACUUGGAGUGAACGUGCACACCUCUGCAGAGUGUAAAACUGAUAUAUCAGCCGUGCUCACGGUCACGAGCGGCCCAGACCCUCACUUGAUGAGCAAAUUGGAUUCACUGGUUACUUGGAGAUGGACCUUGGCGAGGUUGCUACCUCGUGUUUUGGCGGAAUGGCUAUUCCGUGAUGGCAGGAUUGCUAUCCUGUGGUAAUAAUUGGGGUUAAUCCCUGGAUUACUAUAAUAGUUAGGAUAGUCAUUUAAAAGAUGCUAAUUACUACUUACACUAAUUAAGGGUUGGGUUUAUACUACUCAUAUUUAGUAAUAGGUUGUUCUAGUAAUUGUUAUAAUUAAAAGCGAUCAACUAAAAUGCUACCGCAGUCAAACCAAGUCAACUUUACCUUGUUUUAAGCCUUGCAUGUCAUUACUUUCCGUCUGUGCUUGCUGAGUUCGACAUGAGCUCACCCUUGCUAUAAUCAUUAAAGGUUGCUCGGACGAUCAGGAGUACAAUUGCGAUUUCCCUGAGGACUACCCUGAGUCUCCUGGUUGUUAGGCUCGUGUGGUUCUGCCGUCGACCUUCCUGUGGCAAGGUGGUCCUGCUACGUCGGCGUUUAGUUUUCCCUUUAUUUAUGGAACAGUUUAGUUUAUGUUUCCCCUCCGCACUUUGAUAAACAUUUGGCUUGUAAUAAUGGUACUUUUACUCUCAUUUAUGUAAUUCGUUUGAACACUGUGUUUUGUACCAUUGAUGAUGUCGGUCCAUGUGUGUGAAUUUGAGAUCCUGGCGCACAUGUGAUUUGGCACCCGAAUGCUCUUUUACAUCCGGGUGUGACAUCGCGAGAUAAAUCUUUUAAGCCUAGUUAGUCCAUAAUUGAACAAUAUUUGCCAAAAAAACGAAAGUGCUACAGUAUCCGAAAACUUUUCAUUUUGCCAACUAAACAAGGCCUAUGCUACAUGGGCAUCACCACUCUUUGCUUGUACCGUCUUGUUCGUUUGAGCUUAUCAGCCGAAUCUGUCAGUCAUUCAACAAUGUUUUUCUCUCAUAAUAAGCCAACAAUACUUUUUGUCAUAUCUUAUUAGCCAAACAAACAAGGCUUGCAAAAUUUCUCUGUUACAGACAAAAGGUUCUGUGAACUAUAAAUCAACAAUGUAGCAUUUAUAUACCUUAUUAGAUGGCCCCUUUCAAUGAGAACACAAGUUUUAUAGACUUAGAGCAACUCCAACGGCUUGGCAAAAUUUAGUAGUCAGAUUCUAUUUGUUUAGCAACUUUGU
rnacentral:lncRNA from 1 species